UAAGGAAAUACCAAACAGCCACCACCUUAUCAUCCUAGUAAAUGGUACUGUUUCUCCAGGUCUUUGAUCAAUAACAUAAAAAUCAAUGGCUUGUACUUCUAACUUAGAUGCUUUAUUAAGUAUUGUGCCUUUAUUGUUGCCACUUUAAAAUUUUUGUAAAGAAAGGAAGAUUCUUGGAGUCUUGUUGCUGGCAAAUGCUUUAAGGGGUUAAAAAAUUUCUUGGUGUCUAACCUUUUCUGUAUAUUUAGGCUGGCAUUGGCAUUCAUUUCGCAUCCAACUCACCAAUCCUCUCGGAGAGGUGGCCUGAAUGGGAGCACACAGCACCUCAGUGUGAUGAGGAAUAAAAUUGGUCCUUAUUAUUUGCAAAUAAGUUAUUUAAACAGCUUGAAAACCAAUACAGAAUUGGUUGCUGAAUUGUUUACUUUCAUCAUUUAUAUUAAUGAGCCACCAUUUCUUUUUCCGGUCAAUAUUUAUUAAGUCUGUGCCUCAGCAAUAGUUGAUUUUUGCCUAAAGUUUGAGGAAUAGAUUUCUAGUUUUCCCAAACUUCCUGGGUGUCAGCCCAAACGUACAGAUAAUAUUAGCUACCAAGAAAUUUUUUUUUAGCCCUUUAAAGCUUUUGCCAAAGACUAGAGACUCCCAAGAAUCUCCCUUUCUUUACAAAAUACCCAACAGAAAGGCUUAGUAUAUGAAUGUGAUUUUCAUCAGGCAAAUUUGGUACUUGUUGGCCCACGUGUUGAUCUCAAAGUGUAAUUCUGUUGACUGGCAUUAGCAGCCUCAGUGGGCACUUUUUAAGACAGGCAGGAUCUUGGGUUCCCUGUGAGGCCUACUGAAUGAGAAGCUGCAUUUAAUAAGCUCCCCAGGUGACUUGGGUGCAUGUUUAGUGGACUGUGGUGACAAACAGUUGGUGUUCUGUGUUGGGCCUUGUAGUAAGAGCAUAUGAUGCCCAGUUCAGCAUCUCAUCAGUCUGGUGUGGCUAUCUGUGAUUGCCUUUGUAUUAUAUUUUCAUGCACCAUGUACUGUAGAUUUAGAGGCCCCAGGGUGGAGCAGUCAUUCAUAUCCAGGUGUAUGAGAGUUGGUACUCCUAACCUUUCUGCCUGCCUGCUCUUUUGAGGCCGCCUCUCUGUAACCUCCCCUUGGCCAUACAGCACAGGCUGCAGUCUGAAUUUAGAACUGAGCCUAUUGGAUAGAUUGUACAACUUAGGCCUCUGAAAACCUCUGAAAAUGUUGUUUGGGAUGUCUGUGGUUGGCUUAUUUACUUGGUGUUCAUUUUUAAGCUGCUCAGAAAGGUUAGUUGAAGUGUCACUGGUGGCUGUAGCAUUGAUACUCAGGGAAAGUUUUUGAUCUGUGAGAUUUUUAUGGAAUGGUCAAUCAGUAAUCUGCACACACUUUGAGCCCAUUUCCUUUGGGCUCAAUGUGGAGCCCAUUUCCUGGCUUCCAGAAGUUCAGGUUCAGUAACUUGGAUGCUGGCUUAGAGAAGGAGAGGCAGUAGAGGCUGCACUAAUAGUAAAUUUUUGCCUCCUCCCAGGGAUAUGCAGUGCCUGUCAUAAGCCCUAGAGAGUUACCUUGCACAGAGACCAGCGGAGGAGUGGGCAAACAUGAAGUCCAAUCCCGCCAUCCAAGCUGCCAUCGACCUCACGGCAGGGGCCGCAGGGGGGACAGCAUGUGUCCUGACUGGGCAGCCCUUCGACACCAUGAAAGUGAAGAUGCAGACAUUCCCUGACCUGUACCGGGGCCUUACUGACUGCUGCUUGAAGACCUAUGCCCAGGUGGGCUUUCGUGGCUUCUACAAGGGCACCAGCCCAGCGCUGAUCGCCAACAUUGCUGAGAACUCUGUCCUCUUCAUGUGCUAUGGCUUCUGCCAACAGGUGGUACGGAAGAUGGUUGGAUUGGACAAGCAGGCGAAGCUGAGUGAUUUGCAGAAUGCAGCUGCUGGUUCCUUUGCCUCUGCCUUUGCUGCGCUGGUGCUGUGUCCCACAGAGCUUGUGAAGUGCCGGCUGCAGACCAUGUAUGAAAUGGAGACAUCUGGAAAGAUAACCAAAAGCCAGAAUACAGUUUGGUCUGUUGUGAAGAGUAUCCUUAGAAAGGAUGGCCCUUUGGGCUUCUACCAUGGACUCUCAAGCACUUUACUUCGAGAAGUACCAGGCUAUUUCUUUUUCUUCGGUGGCUAUGAACUGAGCCGGUCAUUUUUUGCGUCAGGGAGAUCAAAAGAUGAACUAGGCCCUGUUCCUUUGAUGUUAAGUGGUGGAGUUGGUGGAAUUUGCCUCUGGCUUGCUGUGUACCCAGUGGAUUGUAUCAAAUCCAGAAUUCAAGUUCUUUCCAUGUCUGGAAAACAGGCAGGAUUUAUUGGAACCUUUAUUAAUGUUGUGAAAAAUGAAGGAAUAAUUGCCUUAUAUUCUGGACUGAAGCCUACUAUGAUUCGAGCCUUCCCUGCCAAUGGGGCACUAUUUUUGGCCUAUGAAUACAGCCGGAAGUUGAUGAUGAGCCAGUUGGAAGCAUACUGAAGUGUCCUGGAGGGCCUGCAUCCAAGCAUAGGUGUUGAGGACUACAGUUCAUCUCAGGGUUUCAUGGAGUACAAGACCAGUGUGGAAUUGUUUUGCUUUCUUGAGAAUUUAGUUUUUGUCUUUUCUACCCUAAAUCUUAAAUUUUAUGGAAGGACCUCUAUUUUACAUCAUAGUGUAUCUGUCCAUAAUGGAAGUAGAAAAAUUGCUGUUGCUUGGUAGAAUAUAUAGGGUGAUGAGUGGCCCUAUGCAUGCAAUUGAAAGACAGGACAUAAUUCUGUCAGGACCUUUGCCUGAACCUGGACUUGCACAUUAGGUUAGAUAGUUAUAUGUUGAGUGAACGGCAAUUUGGUUCCAUGUUUAAUCUCAGAUAUAACCAGAAAAACCCAGAGGUGACCAUAUUUCAUGAAGAUGGUUAUAAAUGAGUGCUUAACCCAUUUAAGAUAUAGAGUCUCUUUUUUGUUUUUUUUUUUUGGCCAAGGCUGGGUUUGAACCCACCAUCUCCAGCAUAUGGGGUCAGUACCCUACUCCUUUGAGCCACAGGCACUGCCCAGAUAUAGGGUCUUUUUAAAGGCGACUUAACAUGUGUACUAUUCUAAGUGAUUGAACUUUUUAAAAAGUUUAAUCUGGUGCGUGGAAACCAAAAUAUCCCUUUAGACUUUUAGAGAAUAAAUAUACUUGCAUACUGGUAUGGUUUCCACAUUCUAAAGUGUCAGAAUAGGUGUCCUGGAUUUUCCCAAGAUGCUCUACUCUUAAAUUAGUGCCAUUCAUUUUUGAGGUGGAAUCACAUUCCGCACUGACAAUAUAGCUACGUGUGGUCUUGUGGAUGUGAUCAGGGAGAGCUGAAGGGAGUGAAGUCAGGGGAGCUUAGGCAGUGAUAUGAGUAAUAGGGAGCAGCUGUAAAUACAGGUGAAUCUUUGCCUGCCUGCCUGCCACUCCUCACUAGUUCUGUGGCCCACUGCCUAACAGGCCACAGACCAGUACUGGUCUGCAGUUUGGGCAUUGGGAACCAUAGGCCUAGAAAAUCAGGCCUUUGCAAAAGAGCAUGGCCUUUAACAGCUCUCUUUCUUCUCUCCUAAAGAGCUUCCCCUCUUGCUGGGCUUUAGAUUGAGGAAAGGCCUGAAGGUAUUGGUGGUGCUGCUGUGUGUUGAUGAGGACCCAUGUGACUGACAGCAGCUUUUAAUUUCUAUUUCUGGGUCCUGUUGGCCCAUCUAGCACUAUCAAUCCACUUUGGAUCCCUCAGUCAGAUGCCUUUCCAAGGAAUAGAAGGUGCCAAAGCCAAGAGAAGCCUUUGUUCCUCUUUGGUGAUUAAGUGACAGUACUUAUGCGUGAAGUCCUCCCCUCUCAGAUACAACUAGAAAGCACUCAGUGCCUGUACUACACAGUGCAUAAUGUCAGACUUGCCCCAUUCUCAAAUUUACCUUGGGAUCCCUAAUUCCUUGCCUUGCUUUUACAGUGUUGGGACCUUAUACAGUGAGUUUUAAUGACUGUAUAUGAGAUGUGACUUAUGAAACAAUGAGACAUAAGAAAAGCAAUUUUAUUAAACUACACUGCAUGUAUGUAUGUAUUCACUGACUUAAAAAACCAACCAAACUCCACAGUUAAUUUGAUCCCUGUAGACUUGGGAUGGGCAGCUGUUCUUUGGCCAUAAGAGGAUCAUUUCUUUUACUACUAAAGUCAGCCUCAUCAUCCUGUGCUGCUCCAAGACCAGCAGGGUCUCUCAAUAAAAAGUCUCCUUCAGCAGCCUGCAGUGCUGAUGGCAAGCAGGCCAACCGUCUUAACAACAGUCCAUACCAUGUGUGUGUAUUUCUAUAGACAGAAUAUAAAUGUUGUGCAGAACCUCCAGUUUCUUAAACUUGAUGUUUUCUGUGAAGUCACUGUGGCACCUUUAGGCAUAGUGCCUGAAGCAUAGAGGGUCAGGGAAGUGAGAGGCUGACAAACAGGGGACUUUUGGGGAGGGGAUUCCUCCCCUCUCCUGGCUGUUGUGCUCCACAGUUAUGGUUGGUGUCUUCCAUUUGCUUUUUCUCUAAGAGAAAAUCAUUUCUGUACUUUGCUUUUCUCUCCAUACUGAACUGGUCAGUAGCUACUGAGAGGUAUUUCAUUUCAACAGGCCUAGACUGAAGCAAAAUGGAAAAUAGGGCUGGCUUCCACCAAGAAGCAAACCAUUUCAGCAUCCAUGGUACCCUGCCUGGGGCCCAGGAUGGGUCACAUUAGCCAUGUUAGCAGAUCUUAUCACAGGUCCUCCACUAAAGAUUUAAUUAAAUAUUCUCAAUGAGCAAUAGUUAGAGGCAAGUGGGAGUGAAGAAUGGAAACCUAAUUCAGGAGAAUUAUUUCUUUCUGUUUGGUUAAUUCAUGGUUUAAUAUUUGGGUACAGUUUGUACCAUUUUCAGAUCUGUACUCCAGACAAAAAUAUAAUAAUUUGAAAUGUUGUGUUUGAAGAAAUUUGAGUGUCUUAUCGUCAUUAAAUUAUUUACCUAA